AUUGAACGCUGGCGGCAUGCCUUACACAUGCAAGUCGAACGGCAGCACGGGGGCAACCCUGGUGGCGAGUGGCGAACGGGUGAGUAAUAUAUCGGAACGUGCCCUGGAGUGGGGGAUAACGUAGCGAAAGCUACGCUAAUACCGCAUACGAUCUACGGAUGAAAGUGGGGGAUCGCAAGACCUCAUGCUCGUGGAGCGGCCGAUAUCUGAUUAGCUAGUUGGUAGGUAAAAGCCUACCAAGGCAUCGAUCAGUAGCUGGUUUGAGAGAACGACCAGCCACACUGGGACUGAGACACGGCCCAGACUCCUACGGGAGGCAGCAGUGGGGAAUUUUGGACAAUGGGCGCAAGCCUGAUCCAGCAAUGCCGCGUGUGUGAAGAAGGCCU
rnacentral:rRNA from 1 species